rnacentral:pre_miRNA from 1 species
UAUGACAUCUUACGAACAGUAUUUGACAGAAAAUUCUUCUCUAAUACUGUUUGGUAAAGAUGCCAGC